UACGUAGGGUGCGAGCGUUAAUCGGAAUUACUGGGCGUAAAGCGUGCGCAGGCGGUUCGUUAAGUUCGUUGUGAAAGCCCCGGGCUCAACCUGGGAACUGCAAUGGAAACUGGCGGGCUUGAGUGUGGCAGAGGGGGGUGGAAUUCCGCGUGUAGCAGUGAAAUGCGUAGAGAUGCGGAGGAACACCGAUGGCGAAGGCAGCCUCCUGGGCCAACACUGACGCUCAGGCACGAAAGCGUGGGGAGCAAACAGG
rnacentral:rRNA from 1 species